rnacentral:rRNA from 1 species
CCUACGGGAGGCAGCAGUAGGGAAUUUUCCACAAUGGGCGAAAGCCUGAUGGAGCAAUACCGCGUGCAGGAUGAAGGCCUUCGGGUCGUAAACUGCUUUUAUGUGCGAAGAAUUUGACGGUAACACAUGAAUAAGGAUCGGCUAACUACGUGCCAGCAGCCGCGGUCAUACGUAGGAUCCAAGCGUUAUCCGGAAUUACUGGGCGUAAAGAGUUGCGUAGGUGGCAUUAUAAGUGGAGCGUGAAAGCGUGCGGCUCAACCGCAUUAUUGCGUUCCAAACUGUGAAGCUUGAGUAUGGGAGAGGUAGAUGGAAUUUCUAGUGUAGGAGUGAAAUCCGUAGAUAUUAGAAGGAACACCGAUGGCGUAGGCAGUCUACUGGCCCAUUACUGACACUAAGGCACGAAAGCGUGGGGAGCAAACGGGAUUAGAUACCCCGGUAGUCCACGCUGUAAACUAUGGAUGCUAGCUGUGACACACAUCGACCUGUGUCGUAGCGAAGUUAACGCGUUAAGCAUCCCGCCUGGGGAGUACGGUCGCAAGAUUAAAACUCAAAUGAAAUUGACGG